rnacentral:rRNA from 1 species
UACAGAGGUCUCAAGCGUUGUUCGGGAUUCAUUGGGCGUAAAGGGGUGUGUAGGUGGCGCCGUAAGUCGGGUGUGAAAUUUCGGAGCUUAACUCCGAAACUGCAUUCGAUACUGCGGUGCUUGAGGACUGGAGAGGAGACUGGAAUUCAUGGUGUAGCAGUGAAAUGCGUAGAGAUCAUGAGGAAGACCAGUGGCGAAGGCGGGGUCUCUGGACAGUUCCUGACACUGAGACACGAAGGCCAGGGGAGCAAACGGG